GCCACUCAGCGGCCGGGGGCGGCGGUAAGGGGGAGGGUGCGGGGGUGGGCCGGAAGAACUGGGGGUAAAGAGCUUGUAGGCGGUUCUGGGCGUCGGUCGUGAAAACUUGGGGCUCAAACCCAAGCUGGCGGGCGAUACGGGCGGACUAGAGUACUGCAGGGGAGACUGGAAUUCCUGGUGUAGCGGUGAAAUGCGCAGAUAUCAGGAGGAACACCGGUGGCGAAGGCGGGUCUCUGGGCAGUAACUGACGCUGAGAAGCGAAAGCGUGGGUAGCGAACAGGAUUAGAUACCCGAGUAGUC
rnacentral:rRNA from 1 species